AGAGUUUGAUCCUGGCUCAGGAUGAACGCUGGCGGCGUGCUUAACACAUGCAAGUCGAACGAACCUUCGGGUUAGUGGCGGACGGGUGAGUAACGCGUGGGAAUCUGCCCUCAGGAGGGGGAUAACGGCUGGAAACGGCCGCUAAUACCCCAUAUGCCGAGAGGUGAAAUGAAUUUCGCCUGAGGAUGAGCCCGCGUCUGAUUAGCUAGUUGGUGUGGUAAUGGCUCACCAAGGCUUCGAUCAGUAGCUGGUCUGAGAGGAUGAUCAGCCACACUGGGACUGAGACACGGCCCAGACUCCUACGGGAGGCAGCAGUGGGGAAUUUUCCGCAAUGGGCGAAAGCCUGACGGAGCAACGCCGCGUGAGGGAUGAAGGCCUCUGGGCUGUAAACCUCUUUUUUCAAGGAAGAAGACCUGACGGUACUUGAAGAAUAAGCCACGGCUAAUUCCGUGCCAGCAGCCGCGGUAAUACGGGAGUGGCAAGCGUUAUCCGGAAUUAUUGGGCGUAAAGCGUCCGCAGGCGGCCCUGAAAGUCUGUCGUUAAAGCGUGGAGCUCAACUCCAUUUAAGCGAUGGAAACUACAGGGCUAGAGUGUGGUAGGGGCAGAGGGAAUUCCCGGUGUAGCGGUGAAAUGCGUAGAUAUCGGGAAGAACACCAGUGGCGAAGGCGCUCUGCUGGGCCAUAACUGACGCUCAUGGACGAAAGCCAGGGGAGCGAAAGGGAUUAGAUACCCCUGUAGUCCUGGCCGUAAACGAUGAACACUAGGUGUCGGGGGAAUCGACCCCCUCGGUGUCGUAGCCAACGCGUUAAGUGUUCCGCCUGGGGAGUACGCACGCAAGUGUGAAACUCAAAGGAAUUGACGGGGGCCCGCACAAGCGGUGGAGUAUGUGGUUUAAUUCGAUGCAACGCGAAGAACCUUACCAGGGUUUGACAUCCUGCGAAUCCCUUGGAAACGAGGGAGUGCCUUCGGGAGCGCAGAGACAGGUGGUGCAUGGCUGUCGUCAGCUCGUGUCGUGAGAUGUUGGGUUAAGUCCCGCAACGAGCGCAACCCACGUCGUUAGUUGCCAGCAUUCAGUUGGGCACUCUAGCGAGACCGCCGGUGAUAAACCGGAGGAAGGUGUGGAUGACGUCAAGUCAUCAUGCCCCUUACAUCCUGGGCUACACACGUACUACAAUGCUACGGACAAAGGGCAGCAAGCUCGCGAGAGUUAGCAAAUCCCAUAAACCGUGGCUCAGUUCAGAUCGUAGGCUGCAACUCGCCUACGUGAAGGAGGAAUCGCUAGUAAUCGCAGGUCAGCAUACUGCGGUGAAUACGUUCCCGGGCCUUGUACACACCGCCCGUCACACCAUGGAAGUUGGCCACGCCCGAAGUCGUUACUCCAACCCUUGUGGAGGAGGACGCCGAAGGUGGGGCUGAUGACUGGGGUGAAGUCGUAACAAGGUA
rnacentral:rRNA from 1 species